UGCUUUUGGAUCCACCGCCCCCACAGC
rnacentral:piRNA from 1 species